rnacentral:tRNA from 1 species
GAGAGUGUAGCUCAGUCGGUAGAGCAUUCGACUUUUAAUCGAAUGGUCCUGGGUUCGAGUCCCAGCACUCUCA